UUCUAAAAUUUAUAAUAGAAUUUUAUUUUUUAGUCAAAAAGCUAAAAUAAAUUUAAAAGACGAGAAGACCCUAUAAAUCUUUAUAUUUAGAUAAUUACAAUUUUGUGGAUUUUUUUUGUUGUGAUUGUUGAUAAUAUUUUAUUGGGGUGAUAUUAAAAUUUAAAAAACUUUUAAUUAAUUAAAUCAUUAAUUUAUGAAUAAUUGAUCCGUUAUUAACGAUUAAAAAUUUAAGUUACCUUAGGGAUAACAG
rnacentral:rRNA from 1 species